AUGAGCACCCUAGGAGUGGAAUCUUCAACUUUUGAGGGCAAAUAUUUGGGGUUGCCAACACCGGAGGGGAGAAUGAAAGAUGAGAACUUCCAACCGAUCUUGGACAAAUUUGGAAAGAGAUGUAAUAACUGGAAUGAAAGAUUCAUGUCCCAAGCGGCAAAAGAAGUCCAUGUUAAAUCAAUUGUACAAUCCUUGCCAAUUUACGUCAUGGGGGUUUUCAAGCUCAACCAAAGCUUCUGUGAUAAGUAUGAAAAAAUGAUCAGAGACUUUUGGUGGGGAGACAAGGAUGAACAUAGAAAAGUUCAUUGGAUGUCAUGGGAGAAUAUGACAAAACCUAAGAGGGAUGGAGGCAUAGGUUUCCGAGAUAUGCAUUAUUUCAACCAAGCGCUGCUAGCUAGGCAGGGAUGGAGGCUGCUGCAAUCCCCGAACAGCUUGUGUGCCCGGGUCCUAAAAUCUAAAUACUACCCCAAUGGUGAAUUACUGAAUACCGUAUUCUCCUCGGAUGCUUCCCCCGCGUGGCGAGGGAUUGAAUUUGGACUCGAGCUUCUGAAAAAGGGACUCAUCUGGAGAGUGGGCAGCGGAAGGAAAAUCCAAAUUGAGAGAGACCAAUGGAUUCCACGAGACGAAGGCCUAAAAACUGCGCAUUUCAUAAGCCGCUCCAGACUGAGAUGGGUCAACCAAUUAAUGCUUUCGGACACAAAAGAAUGGAACGUCGACCUCAUAAGGAGAAUUUUCCAUGCUUUUGAUGCAGACAAAAUCUGCAAAAUCCGAAUCCCCUCUGCUGAAGUAGAGGAUUGUGUGGCUUGGCACUAUGAAAAGUCUGGUGUCUUCACUGUCAGGAGCGCCUACAAACUUGGCGUCACUCUAAGUAGAAAUGGAAGGGAGGCCCCCUCUAGCUCGUCGAGUGAACCCGGGAACAAAAGCAUUUGGGAUGUCAUAUGGAAAGCAAACAUUCCAGAGAAAACAAAAAAAUUUGGGUGGAGAGUGGCGACCCAAACGUUGGCAACAAAACACAACACCUUCAGAAGGACUAUUGUGAAGGAAGACAUAUGUGAUUAUGUGGAACGGAGAGUGAAGAUGAGUUCCAUGCAGUUGUUUCAUGCACAAGAAGCAGGGCGUUGA
rnacentral:rRNA from 1 species